AUGGAGAAGCACCUGCGUGCCUGCUGGGUGCUUUUGUGGCCAUGUUUUCAGUGGGUGGCUGGCAAGAGCCAAGUGGAGCAGAGUCCCGAGUCCUUGGUCAUGCUUGAGGGAGAGAGCUGUGUCCUUCAAUGCAACUACAGUGUGAGCCCCUUUAACAACUUAAAGUGGUACAAACAAGACACAGGCAGAGGUCCUGUGUCUCUGGUAAUCAUGACUUACGCAGAGCACAAAAAGUCAAAUGGAAGGUACUCAGCAAUUCUGGAUGCAGAUGCUAAGCACAGCACCCUGCAUUUCACAGCCUCCCUGCUGGAAGACACGGUCUCCUACAUCUGUGUGGUGGGCGCACCAUGCUCCCCAGAUACUUACAGCCAGCACCAAAACCUGCUCCUGGAGGCUUCUGGGAGGCAGAGGUGA